rnacentral:lncRNA from 1 species
CCAAGGUUCAGCAAUCAAUAAGAUCGCCUAGUCCUCAUUGAGCAUCCAUAAGGAUUUAAGCUCGAAUCCACUAAAUCACCGGCCAAAAACAUCAAUUUCGAGUUACAAAACGAACACAUAGUUCACCUACUCAAACAACCAACGAUCGGCCACUUCUGAAUAAGAAGAACUCACACAAGAGUUCAUACAAAUACACUUUCUCUCAACCAACUAAACGAUCUCACAGGUCAAAGAGAAAACCCAAAAAUUACAGAGAGAAAAAUCGAGAAGAAGCUGCUCGAAAAAUGGCCAAGUCUAAACCGUAGACUUUUGAGCUCCUUUUAAAUGAAAGAAGCCGAUUCAUUUGAUCCAACUGCCUUCAACAUGCGACGCGUCUUGAUCCGGCUGAAGUUGUUAAAACAAAACAGAAACGCUUUUUUAUUUAGCCAUUCCAAAUUCUUCUACUUGUUGGACUAUCAACCCAGGUCAGAUGGAUUGGGCAAACUUUAGAUAUAUAUAUAUAUAUAUAUAUAUAUAUAUAUAUAUAUAUAUAUAUAUAUGGGCUGGACUUCCACGAAGACAGUAACCCAAUCUUACAAUCUCUAUCUUUGCUGUCUUUUGUGCUUGCUCUUUUGUGGAUUCAAAACUCACACACCUUAUUUCAUUUGCUCUUAUUACUUGUAGAAAUAGAAGAAAUCAGUCUUCUUCAAGAUUAAUUAAUCUUAAAGAAUCAACAAACUUACUAAUAGAGAUUACCUUAGUUCCGACAUCUGCUGGAUUUACCUUAGUAGGUAUUUUGAUCAAUCUAAUAUCACCCUUAUCAAUGAUGUCUCUAAUAAAAUGGAAUUUUACAUCUAUAUACUUGGAUCUAUCAUGUAAAAUAGGAUUUUUACGUAGAAAAAUAGCACUUUGGUUGUCUGAACACAGCUCCACCUGAUUUUCUAUAAGUCCUAAUUCACUAAGUAAACCUUUCAACCAUAAACCCUCCUUAACUGUUUCAGUUGCAACAAUGUAUUCAGUUUCAAUUGAAGACAAUGCAACCAAUUUUUGAAGCUGAAAUUUCCAACUAAUGCAUGUAUCAUUUAUAACAUAAAAAUAUGCAAUUGUAGACUUCUUAUUGUCCGGAUUACUAGCAAAAUCUGAAUCUACAUAACCUUUAAGUCUAAAUUCAUUUUUAUUUGUUUUGAACAUUAAACCUAAGUCACUGGUUCCUUUCAAGUAUUUAAUUAGAUUUUUCAUGCAUUGUCAAUGUAUUUCACCUGGGUUACUCAUAAAUCUGCUUAAAACACUCACAUCAUAAGCAAUAUCAAGCCUAGAGCAAACCAUAACAUAUAUAACAGAUCCAACAGCAUUAGAAUAUGGAACACUCAUCAUUCUUUUAUGUUCCUCUUCAGUUUAGGCGAUUGAUCAACAUAUAAUUUCAUUCCAGCAGAUAAAGGCAAACUAGCAGCUUAGAUUCAUGAAGAGAAAACCUUUUUACAACCUUAUCAACAUAAGAUUUUUGUGUUAGAAACAACUUUCCAUUUAUUCUAUCUCUUUUUCUUUCUAGCUAGUCCUAAAUCUUUUAUUUCAAAUUCAGAUUUCAGAUGUUCUUUAAUUGAGUUAAGUGCAACAAAAUUAUGACCAGCAAGAAGUAUAUCAUCAACAUACAAAAGCAGAUAAAGAAAAUCAGAUUCACCUUCUUUCUUAUAAUAGAAACAGGAAUCAUAUUCAGAUUUCUUGAAGUUCAAACCUUGUAUAAAAGAGUCAAAUCUUUUAUAUCACUGCCUAGGGGCCUGUUUUAGGCUAUACAAGGAUUUCUUUAAGAGACACACUAAGUUUCCCUUUCCUACCAUUUCAAACCCUCUUGGUUGAGUCAUAUGUAUGGUUUCAUCUAAAGAACCAUACAAGAAGGCAGUUUUCACAUCGAGUUGUUCUAAUUCCAAGUCAAAUUGUGUCACUAUAGCAAGUAGGACUCUAAUGGAUGUAUAUUUAACAACUAGUGAAAAUAUUUUGUUGCAAUAUAUCCCUUCCCUUUGGUUAAAGCCUUUAGCUACAAGUCUUGCAUUAAACCUUUUAUCAAUAGCUUUAGUCUCACCCUCUUUAAUUUUAUAAACCCAUUUACAAUCAAACAAUUUACAAUCUUUGGGUUUUUCAACUAAAGUCCAGGUCUCAUUUUUAAAGAGUCAGUUCAUUUCAUCUUCCAUCGCAACAAUCCACUUGGGGGAUUCUUUGGAAGAA